rnacentral:rRNA from 1 species
UACGAAGGGGGCUAGCGUUGUUCGGAAUUACUGGGCGUAAAGGGCGCGUAGGCUGUGCUGUAAGUCAGGCGUGAAAGCCCCGGGCUCAACCUGGGAAUUGCGCUUGAUACUGCGGCGCUGGAAGGUGGGAGAGGAUGGCGGAAUUCCCAGUGUAGAGGUGAAAUUCGUAGAUAUUGGGAGGAACACCAGUGGCGAAGGCGACCACCUGGACGAAGACUGACGCUGAGGCGCGAGAGCGUGGGGAGCAAACAGG